AAAGUGAAAAACCAAUAAAAGGAAUCGCAGAAGCUAUUCAAACCUCAAAACCUCAACCUUUUCAACCCAUUCCGAACAGUUUUGCGAACCUUCAAAACUCAGAAUCCUUCAAUCCAUUGGAACCUCAAAAUCCAUUCGAAAAUCUCAAUAGCUUCAACCAUGCUGAACCCCAUUCGAAAAUUCUCAAUUCUGUUACUCGUGUUCGUGUUUACGUGUUCUUCCCGAUCUUAGUACUGUGUUGCCAGCAGUGGGCGUGCAGAGGACUGUUUCAGGGUUUUUUGGGGGGCCGGUUGUGGACUUAGCAUGUUUUUAGUCUGUGAGUGCAGUUGAUGUGGUGAUAGUGCAGGCGGGCUUAUUAGUGGCAUGUCUACUUCUGUAGGUGUAGCUGUGUUCCUUUCCUUUGGGGCUGAUUUUAGGUGCCAAUUAGGUGCUUUUAGUUUCAUUUUGGCUAUUUGCUCUUUUUGGCUACUGUUCGCACGUCUGAAAAUAUUCACCGACAACCCUUAAUCUGAGAACACUCACGAACUCUCACAGAAUCCUCUUAUCCUUCUCCAAUCGAAACUCACAAGAACCCUUUUCUAAUUCUUUUGUUUCUUCAUUGGAAUCGGUGGUGAAUGGAAGCACUUUCUGAAAUAUGAUUACACUGAAGGGUUGUCAUCGUUUCUGUGUCACUAGACUCCCUUGAAAAAGAAAGAGCCAUAUAUGCAGUUGUGUUGGAAAAACCAAGGUUGAAAGCAUCUUGUUCAAUACUCAUAAACCCCAAAUCUCUGCUUGGUGCUCUUUCUUCUUUGCACGAAAGUGACAGUGAGUUUCGAUCUUGUUUGAGGCUAUUUUAUUUCUCUUCUUGCUGCUCUUUUCUUACUGUCGUUGUUCAGUUUAGAAUCAUCAUUAUUCAGACUCUCAUUUACACGAUUAUUGCUCUUCAGGUGAUUUUUGGGUAUUUUCAUUGCCUUUUAUUUUUGGUAUCUGAGUCCCACAUAUGUGUGUUUACUGACCAAGGCUGCUCAUCACUUUCCCUUAUCUUCUAAGUAUAAGAAUUAGUUUGGACGUAGUGAUUUAUAAUUUGUGUGUGCUUACUCUUAGUUAUAAGAACUUUAAUAUAUUUGAAUCAUUGAACAAAUAAAUUAAAAGCAACUACUAUCUGAUUAGAACCUACAUACUAAUAAGUUGGAGCAAGGCCUAUGGUUUAUAACAAUACACAAAUUUAGAAAAUCACUCUAGGUAAAGUUUCAAUUACUUUGUUAUAGGAUUACAUACUUUUGAUGUUGUGAUAUCAGCAUUGUUGGUUGCAUUUAAUGUCUUUAAAUUCAAAUAGUUACAUGUAUGUUAUAAAGUUAAGAUAGUCACAUAAUAUUAGUGGUUAUAGGGCUCAUGCAUCCACUUUUGGCACUAUUAGAGUUGAUAUUUUUUUGGAUAUUGUUGUGUAGAUCAACAAAACUAUAUGGUCUGCUUCUACCUUUUGGAUAAUUGCAACAAUGUAAAAAACUCUCUAAUAUAAGAAGAUUAAUUUUUUUUUCUCUAGAAGUGUCUAUGGUCUGUUGUAGUUGACAAGUCGUUUGCAGAAGUAUGAGUUCUGAAAAAGGAAAUUGGAGGCUGGACCAAUGAGUACUUCUACUAUUAAUUUUCAAGAUGCUUUUAUUGGUGGUUAUAAGGCUCAUAUCUCCACUGUUGCAUAGUAUGGAGGACAAUAUAGUUAUGUUGAUGGUUCAAUAGAGGAAUGGUUAAUGAUGAUAUCGAUGAAGAAUUUCGAGAUUUUGAAGUACAAGAGAUGAAGACAUAUGUUGAUGUUUAAGUGUUGUUUAGAUUGUGAAAAUGAUAAUUGACAUUUUGACGUAAAAGUAUACAUUAAAUAUUUGAGUACUUUAUCGUGAAGAAUGUUAUUUUGGAUACCUAUAUGAAUGAUAUGAUAUAUUAUUGACAAGUAUUUGGUAUGUAAUUUUAAAUUUAGAAUCAUAUUUGAA